rnacentral:rRNA from 1 species
UACGUAGGGCGCAAGCGUUAUCCGGAAUUAUUGGGCGUAAAGCGCGCGUAGGCGGUCACCUAAGUCGAAUGUGAAAGCCCUCGGCUCAACCGGGGAAGUGCAUCCGAAACUGGGCGACUGGAGUACCAAAGAGGGUCGCGGAAUUCCCGGUGUAGAGGUGAAAUUCGUAGAUAUCGGGAGGAACACCGGCGGCGAAGGCGGCGACCUGGUUGGAUACUGACGCUGAGGCGCGAAAGCGUGGGGAGCAAACAGG